UAGUAGUAACCUUGUCAGUAU
rnacentral:piRNA from 1 species